rnacentral:rRNA from 1 species
AUGCAGGGGUUCCAUGGUUGCUCUGUCGACCUCUCCUGUAUCAAUCGCGCGCACAUUGUGCUGCUACCCCAAGGCCAAGGGGUGCUUGCGCCGGGGGGCUUCCGACCCAUAUCCCUCCAAAACUGCGACGUCAAGAUCCCGUGCAAGGUGCUCACCACGCGUCUACAACAACAAAUCGCGGAUGUGGUGGAUGUGGACCAGUCCGGGUUCAUCCAGGGGCGGAGCUUCUCCGAGAACUUUGUGUUCGCAACGGAGAUUGUGCAGUGCUGCGAGACUCGCCGUGCCCCCUCUUUGGUCCUGAAGCUGGACUUUGCCAAGGCUUUCGACUCCAUCAACUGGAGCAACCUUCGCCGGAUUAUGGAGGUGCGUGGGUUUCCCUCCCUUUGGUGGGAUCAGAUGGACUCGAUUUUCCAAUUCUCCAUGUCCGAGGUGGUCCUCAACGGUGUGCCUGGGAGGUGGAUCAACAUCAAAAAGGGGCACCGGCAGGGGGACCCCCUCUCCCCCUACUUGUUCCUUCUCGUCGCGGAUGUACUUCAGCAGAUGAUCAGGGGGGAGGGAUGCGUCACCCUCUCGUCGAUGACGCCCCUCCGCUCGUCCUCCAGUACGCGGAUAAUACUAUCAUCAUCAUCCGGUCGGAGUUGCACGCGGUGCGGCGCCUCAAAGGCAUCCUCGAUGACUUUGCGGCCACAACGAGACUCGUCAUCAACUUCCACAAGAGCACCGUCGCGCCCAUCCAUGUUCCGGAGACCGAUCUUGAGGCAAUGGUGCAAGUUUUGGGGUGCACCGUGGGGGGUUUCCCCCAAAUCUACCUCGGCCUCCCGCUCUCCAACCGCAAGCUCACCAUGGAUGACUUCCUCCCGCUCAUCGCCAAGGCCAAGCGCUACCUCUCGGGCUGGUGCACCCCGCUGCUGUCCUUCGAGGGGCAUCUAG